UACAGAGGUGGCGAGCGUUAUUCGGAAUUAUUGGGCGUAAAGGGCGCGUAGGCGGCCAAGCAAGUCCCGGGUGAAAUCCCUCGGCUCAACCGGGGAACUGCGUCUGAUACUGGGUGGCUUGAAUCCGGGAGAGGGAUGCGGAAUUCCAGGUGUAGCGGUGAAAUGCGUAGAUAUCUGGAGGAACACCGGUGGCGAAGGCGGGUCUCUGGGCCGAUACUGACGCUGAGGAGCGAAGGCGUGGGGGAGCAAACAGG
rnacentral:rRNA from 1 species